GAUGAACGCUGGCGGCGUGCCUAAUACAUGCAAGUAGAACGCUGAAACUUGGUGCUCGCACCGAGCGGAUGAGUUGCGAACGGGUGAGUAACGCGUAGGUAACCUGCCUGGUAGCGGGGGAUAACUAUUGGAAACGAUAGCUAAUACCGCAUAAGAGUAGAUGUUGCAUGACAUUUGCUUAAAAGGUGCAAUUGCACCACUACCAGAUGGACCUGCGUUGUAUUAGCUAGUUGGUGGGGUAACGGCUCACCAAGGCGACGAUACAUAGCCGACCUGAGAGGGUGAUCGGCCACACUGGGACUGAGACACGGCCCAGACUCCUACGGGAGGCAGCAGUAGGGAAUCUUCGGCAAUGGACGGAAGUCUGACCGAGCAACGCCGCGUGAGUGAAGAAGGUUUUCGGAUCGUAAAGCUCUGUUGUAAGAGAAGAACGAGUGUGAGAGUGGAAAGUUCACACUGUGACGGUAUCUUACCAGAAAGGGACGGCUAACUACGUG
rnacentral:rRNA from 1 species